rnacentral:rRNA from 1 species
GACGAACCCUUGCGGCGUGCUUAACACAUGCAAGUCGAACGGAAAGGCCCUGCUUUUGUGGGGUGCUCGAGUGGCGAACGGGUGAGUAACACGUGAGUAACCUGCCCUUGACUUUGGGAUAACUUCAGGAAACUGGGGCUAAUACCGGAUAGGAGCUCCUGCUGCAUGGUGGGGGUUGGAAAGUUUCGGCGGUUGGGGAUGGACUCGCGGCUUAUCAGCAUGUUGGUGGGGUAGUGGCUUACCAAGGCUUUGACGGGUAGCCGGCCUGAGAGGGUGACCGGCCACAUUGGGACUGAGAUACGGCCCAGACUCCUACGGGAGGCAGCAGUGGGGAAUAUUGCACAAUGGGCGGAAGCCUGAUGCAGCAACGCCGCGUGCGGGAUGACGGCCUUCGGGUUGUAAACCGCUUUCGCCUGUGACGAAGCGUGAGUGACGGUAAUGGGUAAAGAAGCACCGGCUAACUACGUGCCAGCAGCCGCGGUGAUACGUAGGGUGCGAGCGUUGUCCGGAUUUAUUGGGCGUAAAGGGCUCGUAGGUGGUUGAUCGCGUCGGAAGUGUAAUCUUGGGGCUUAACCCUGAGCGUGCUUUCGAUACGGGUUGACUUGAGGAAGGUAGGGGAGAAUGGAAUUCCUGGUGGAGCGGUGGAAUGCGCAGAUAUCAGGAGGAACGCCAGUGGCGAAGGCGGUUCUCUGGGCCUUUCCUGACGCUGAGGAGCGAAAGCGUGGGGAGCGAACAGGCUUAGAUACCCUGGUAGUCCACGCUGUAAACGGUGGGUACUAGGUGUGGGGUCCAUUCCACGGGUUCCGUGCCGUAGCUAACGCUUUAAGUACCCCGCCUGGGGAGUACGGCCGCAAGGCUAAAACUCAAAGGAAUUGACGGGGCCCCGCACAAGCGGCGGAGCAUGCGGAUUAAUUCGAUGCAACGCGUAGAACCUUACCUGGGUUUGACAUGGAUCGGGAGUGCUCAGAGAUGGGUGUGCCUCUUUUGGGGUCGGUUCACAGGUGGUGCAUGCCUGUCGUCAGCUCGUGUCGUGAGAUGUUGGGUUAAGUCCCGCAACGAGCGCAACCCUUGUUCACUGUUGCCAGCACGUUAUGGUGGGGACUCAGUGGAGACCGCCGGGGUCAACUCGGAGGAGGGUGGGGAUGACGUCAAGUCCUCAUGCCCCUUAUGUCCAGGGCUUCACGCAUGCUACAAUGGCUGGUACAGAGAGUGGCGAGCCUGUGAGGGUGAGCGAAUCUCGGAAAGCCGGUCUCAGUUCGGAUUGGGGUCUGCAACUCGACCUCAUGAAGUCGGAGUCGCUAGUAAUCGCAGAUCAGCAACGCUGCGGUGAAUACGUUCCCGGG